rnacentral:rRNA from 1 species
UACGUAGGUGGCAAGCGUUGUCCGGAUUUAUUGGGUUUAAAGGGUGCGUAGGCGGCCCUGUAAGUCAGUGCUGAAAUACCCCGGCUUAACCGGGGGGGUGGCAUUGAUACUGCAGGGCUUGAGUACAGAUGAGGUAGGCGGAAUUGACGGUGUAGCGGUAGAAAUGCAUAGAUAUCGUCAAGAACACCGAUAGCGAAGGCAGCUUACUGGGCUGUAACUGACGCUGAUGCACGAAAGCGUGGGGAGCGAACAGG